rnacentral:rRNA from 1 species
GAUGAACGCUGGCGGCGUGCCUAAUACAUGCAAGUCGAGCGAACAGACGAGGAGCUUGCUCCUCUGACGUUAGCGGCGGACGGGUGAGUAACACGUGGAUAACCUACCUAUAAGACUGGGAUAACUUCGGGAAACCGGAGCUAAUACCGGAUAAUAUCUUGAACCGCAUGGUUCAAUAGUGAAAGACGGUUUUGCUGUCACUUAUAGAUGGAUCCGCGCUGUAUUAGCUAGUUGGUAAGGUAACGGCUUACCAAGGCAACGAUGCGUAGCCGAGCUGAGAGGGGGAUCGGCGACACUGGAACUGAAACAGCGACCCGACUCCUACGGGAGGCAGCAGUUGGUGAUGUUGCGCAAUGGGCGGAAGCCUGACGGAGCGACGCCGCGUGUGUGAUAAAGGUCGUCGGAUCGUAAAACUCUGUUAUUAGGGAAGAACAAAUGUGUAAGUAACUAUGCACGGCUUGACGGUACCUGAUCAGAAAGCCACGGCUAACUACGUG